rnacentral:rRNA from 1 species
CCUACGGGUGGCAGCAGUAGGGGAUAUUGCACAAUGGGGGCAACCCUGAUGCAGCGACGCCGCGUGGGCGAUGGAGUACUUCGGUAUGUAAAGCUCUGUCAGCAGGGAAGAGAAUGACGGUACCUGACCAAGAAGCCCCGGCUAAAUACGUGCCAGCAGCCGCGGUAAUACGUAUGGGGCAAGCGUUAUCCGGAUUUACUGGGUGUAAAGGGAGCGUAGGCGGGAGGGCAAGCCUGAUGUGAAAGCCCGGGGCUCAACCCCGGGACUGCAUUGGGAACUGCCCCGCUGGAGUGAUGGAGGGGCAGGGGGAAUUACUAGGGUAGCGGUGAAAUGCGGAGAUAUUAGGAGGAACUCCAGUGGCGAAGGCGGACUGGUGGACGGUGUACUGACGCUGAGGCUCGAAAGCGUGGGGAGCAAACAGGAUUAGAUACCCGUGUAGUC